rnacentral:rRNA from 1 species
AUUGAACGCUGGCGGCAUGCUUUACACAUGCAAGUCGAACGGCAGCGCGGGCUUCGGCCUGGCGGCGAGUGGCGAACGGGUGAGUAAUGCAUCGGAACGUGCCCAGUAGUGGGGGAUAGCCCGGCGAAAGCCGGAUUAAUACCGCAUACGACCUGAGGGUGAAAGCGGGGGACCGAAAGGCCUCGCGCUAUUGGAGCGGCCGAUGUCGGAUUAGCUAGUUGGUGGGGUAAAGGCUUACCAAGGCGACGAUCCGUAGCUGGUCUGAGAGGACGACCAGCCACACUGGGACUGAGACACGGCCCAGACUCCUACGGGAGGCAGCAGUGGGGAAUUUUGGACAAUGGGGGCAACCCUGAUCCAGCCAUGCCGCGUGCGGGAAGAAGGCCUUCGGGUUGUAAACCGCUUUUGUUCGGGAAGAAAUCCUCUGGGCUAAUACCCCGGGGGGAUGACAGUACCGGAAGAAUAAGCACCGGCUAACUACGUG